rnacentral:rRNA from 1 species
CAAUAGCGUAUAUUAAAGUUGUUGCGGUUAAAAGCUCGUAGUUGGAUUUCUGUCGAAAACGGCCGGUCCGCACUAUGUGCGUGUAUCUGGUUCGGUUUUGGCAUCCUCAUGAAGAACGUAACUGCGCUUGAUUGCGUGGUGCGGUAUUCAUGACUUUUACUUUGAGGAAAUUAGAGUGUUCACGGCAGGCAAGCGCCUUGAAUAUAUUAGCAUGGAAUAAUAAUAUAGGAUCUUGGUCCCAUUUUGUUGGUUUCUGGAACUAAGAUAAUGAUUAAUAGGGAUAAUUGGGGGCAUUCGUAUUAACGCGUCAGAGGUGGAAUUCUUGGAUUGCGUUACGACGAACUACUGCGAAAGCAUUUGCCAAGGAUGUUUUCAUUGAUCAAGAACGAAAGUAUGGGGAUCGAAGACGAUUAGAUACCGU